AAUGUUACUAUCGAAGAGGGGCUGGAGAUGUUGGCGCGAGAACACAGAUGGCGCUGUUCUGAGCGAACCCAGCGAGCAUCUCACACACACAGUGAAAACUUUGCCGUUCCCGGUCUCUGCUUUUUGUUCUUUGACAUCUGACAGGUUGCUUUGAGUGUCAGUGUUGUUUAUAAACAAUAUCGAUACGCUCACCUGCUCAGACGGUGUUAGCGAAGACAGUUGAUAUUCUCCAGAUAUCCAGUUGUUCUUCGUUGUCUUCAAGCGUUUUCUCGUCGUCGUGGCUCUCUUGUAACCCAGCAGUUUUUUGACAGGAGUGGCAGUAUCACUGAGCGCUUCGGCAAGACAUAUACCGGAGCGACUGGAGCCUUUUACCUUUACAAGAAGGAUGUCCAGCGAGUGGGAAAGCAACGUUGAGUGGCUGUGUAUCGGUGGCAGUAUCGACUUCGGCAGGACAUAUACCGCAGCUGUUACCUUUGGAAGCUGGUGCGGGCGCAGGUUGAUAGCAAUCGGUGUUGGCAGUGUAUGGUAUCGGAUGAAUCUGCGAGGAUUUGAGAUUUCUUGAGGACGGCAGUAUCUUGUGGAGCUUCGGCAGUACAUAUACAUUUGUGUUUGCUUACCCGUGGGAAAAGUAAUGAUGACGAAAUAAACUUGAUCUUCUUUUUGGAGUUCAGGCUUGA